AAACCAUGAUGAGGGUAUCUUCAUUGUAGCUCCUGAUAACGCUCCCAAAUCUCAUACAAUGUCUCUCCUUCCUGUUGACAAAAACUAGUUAUAUCCAUACAAAAUUU